rnacentral:rRNA from 1 species
UACGGGGGGAGCAAGCGUUGUUCGGAUUUACUGGGCGUAAAGGGCGCGUAGGCGGUCAGCACAAGUCAGUUGUGAAAUCUCCGGGCUUAACUCGGAAAGGUCAACUGAUACUGUGCGACUAGAGUGCGGAAGGGGCAACUGGAAUUCUCGGUGUAGCGGUGAAAUGCGUAGAUAUCGGGAGGAACACCAGUGGCGAAAGCGGCUACCUGGCCCAUUCUUGACGCUGAGGCGCGAAAGCUAGGGGAGCAAACGGG